rnacentral:rRNA from 1 species
AUUGAACGCUGGCGGAAUGCUUUACACAUGCAAGUCGAACGGCAGCACGGACUUCGGUCUGGUGGCGAGUGGCGAACGGGUGAGUAAUGUAUCGGAACGUGCCCAGUCGUGGGGGAUAACGUAGUGAAAAUUACGCUAAUACCGCAUACGAUUUAUGGAUGAAAGCGGGGGAUCGCAAGACCUCGCGCGAUUGGAGCGGCCGAUAUCAGAUUAGGUAGUUGGUGGGGUAAAGGCCCACCAAGCCAACGAUCUGUAGCUGGUCUGAGAGGACGACCAGCCACACUGGAACUGAGACACGGUCCAGACUCCUACGGGAGGCAGCAGUGGGGAAUUUUGGACAAUGGGCGAAAGCCUGAUCCAGCCAUUCCGCGUGCAGGAUGAAGGCCCUCGGGUUGUAAACUGCUUUUGUACAGAACGAAAAGGUUUCUACUAAUACUAGGAGCUCAUGACGGUACUGUAGGAAUAAGCACCGGCUAACUACGUGCCAGCAGCCGCCGUAA